GGCGCCCUGCUGAUCGGGGCGCGGUCGCUGGAUUUCGAACGUCUGGUUCUGGCGACGGGCGCCGGGAGCCAUCUGUUCGACACCGCCGGGGCGGCG
rnacentral:tRNA from 1 species